GUUCAAGUAAGCAAGAAGAACAUUUGGCUAGAUUAUUUGAUGAAAUUCUACUACAAGUGUUUUCCAAAGUUCCAUAUGAUGCACCAUUUGAUGAAACAAGACAAACAGUGGACAAAUCAGUUACGAAGAGAACCAUGAAAGAAAGUCACAUUGAAGAGGAGAAGAGGGAGAAAGAAUCUUCUCUAUUCAACAGGGAUGUAAGUGAUGAGCCAUUAACUACCACAGAUAAAGGAGCACUCCAAGAAGCAAGCAGUCCAAGUGUUCCGAGUAGGACUAUGCCAUGUGCACAGCUUCUGCAGUUCCUUCAGAGGAACAUCAUUAGUGCUUCUGCUGCGGUGGCGGGAAUCCUCGUGGCCACAGUGUUGCUGCUGCUGGUGUUGAUCACAUACAUCCGGAGGAAACAGCUAUUGUGAGUGGCUCUUAGCGCCCACCUUCCUUCCAAGAACUCACAGGUGUUUUACCACCAUUUCCCUGAGCUGCUCACCCUGGAUUUAGGAGGGGGACAGGGACCUCUAAGCCCAGUUGUGUGUAUUUCGUAGAAGUGAGAUGACCCAGGCUUCUGGUUUUUAGACACUGCCUUGAGGUUUCGAUGCACAGCUGGGUUUGGGGUUUCCUGGCUUGGACAGUCCUUGCCUCUGGAAGUCUUCCCAGAUGGGGCCACACUUCUUCCCCUGCCUAGGGCUACUGAAAGAGGAGGUGGCAUGGCCUCUGGCUGAAAGAUUGGAAAAUAGCAAUGUGGAUGUCGAAGAGAAAGGAAAAGUGCAGCCACAAGGUUGUGGGGAGGAUGAGGCUCUGGGGGAGGCAAGAUGAGGGCUGAUGUUCUGUUUGUUCACACUGCUGUAGCCACCCUGGUUGUUGUGUACUGAAAGAUGCCUCUACUGGUUGGUCUUACCCUCUCCAGAGCCUUCCCAGACUUCCUAGUGUUCCCCAUGAUCCUGCAAAUGAAGGGUUAAUGCCUGGCUCAGCAGUGGCCCUCCAGGGCUCUGCUCCAGCAGUGGCCAGCUUGACUGUCAGUGUCUGUCUGUCCCAGUUGUUACAUAUUUCACUUGUCCCCCUGAUGAGAGAGCUCAAGCAUAGUGAUUCUAACCAGGAGCAGGCACUGGAAAGUGAAGAGUUUAGAAGAUCCUGUAUUUGCAGUAAUUGCACCUUGAAAUUAUGUGCCUUGACUUACAUCCCUUGGGAUACACAUUCCUGGUCACAGGGCAAAGCAGCCCCCAAGGCCUCUCAGGUCCUCCCCAGCACUGUGCUGGGUAGUCAGCUCAUCCACAGAGAAAGGGUGCUGUGGCAUGUGAUGAGGGGUGAAGUGUCCAUGCCCCAUCCUGCCCACCCUUGACUCUGCAGUAUUUAAAUUUCCCCAAAAGAAGUUCCUUUUGUGGCUCAGUGGGUUAAGAACCCAGCAUAAUCUCCAUGAGGAUGCAGGUUUGAUCCCUGGACUCGCUCAGUGGGUUAAGGACCUGGUGUUGCUGUGGCUGUGGUGUAGGCCAGCAGCUGCAGCAUCAAUUGAACCCCUAGCCUGGGAACUUCCAUAUGCCUCAGGUGCAGCUGUAGAAACAAUAAAAAUGAAUAAAAAUAGAUAAAUUUCCCCAGAAGAGUGUCAUUGCUUUCCACAAAAUGUCCUGUAAAAUGCCAAGUCUCCUAGGACUGGUCACUCCCUCAAGCCAGCCACCACCACCACACAUCCAGCUUUCUCCUCUGAGACAGAAACGGGUCCCCUGAAGUCCAAGGGGAGCCCCAAAUAUGGCAGAAGUUCAAGAGACAAAAUCAAAGAGCUCCUAAGCUUGACCCACUUCCCAGUUCUGACUGGGGCUCAUCCAUCAGACUCACCAUUUCCCUUCUGUGUUUCUCGGAGUUACCAAAAAAAGUGGUGAGGAUGUGGUUCCAUCCCACAGAGAUGGAUCAAAGCUGGGGGAGCCUGUGCUGGUGAUGAGGAAGGGCGGGGGACUUUCCCAGAGGCUCCGUGAUGCCAGAGGCAGAAUGAAUUUCACACACCAAUUUGCUGAUGGGAAGGGCACGGAAUCCUCCCCUCUCACAAACAUCAGUCUCUCAGGGAGUAGAUGGUAGGAAUGUGUAGUGCAGUUUAUGUGUGUUUUGUUUCAGAUAUCCUCCAGAAAACAUGACCUAUAAUAUUUUUAUAAUGAAUGGAAAGACUUGGUGGCAAAAAUCUCAAGAAAAGAAGACCAGAAAACACACGGGGAAACAGAAACAGCUGAAGUUAAAUUCCAGUGUCUAAACCAGGUGGGCGGCCAGCCAACUGGCACUUAAAGCUGUGAGGUGAGACAAUCUCCAUCCUGACACCGUGGAGAGGCCAUUGGCUUCCUGGCUGCAUGUGAGGUGCACCCUCCAAAACGUUUACCUCUUCCUCUCAAUUUUGAAUGGACCAAGAAAACAAUGUUUGCUCACACGAUGCUCGCAGUGGGCAAUGGCACUGAUGACGGUGCAGGAGACUGAGCACAUUUCCCCAGAGAGGAACCUGCCAGACCAUGGAUUUAUUUAUUUAGUAAAACAUUGAUUUGUUUUUUU
ensembl:lncRNA